UUAAGACGGGUCGAAUGGGGAGCCCACAGGCCAGCGUCCGGAGCGUGCAGAUGCCGAAGCACGCCAGAGGCGCGCGCUGCCUACCACAAUCAAGGAGACGACGUUCCACGAGCGUAUCAAAAGCCCGGGCUUUGGCCGCCCCCCCGUCGAAUGGGGAGCCCACAGGCCAGCGUCCGGAGCGUGCAGAUGCCGAAGCACGCCAGAGGCGCGCGCUGCGUACCACAAUCAAGGAGACGACGUUCCACGAGCGUAUCAAAAGAC
rnacentral:lncRNA from 1 species